AGCGAACGCUGGCGGUAUGCUUAACACAUGCAAGUCGAGCGCGAAAGUGACUUCGGUCAUGAGUAGAGCGGCGGACGGGUGAGUAACACGUGGAUAAUCUGCCUUUAGGACUGGGAUAACCCUGGGAAACUAGGGCUAAUACCGGAUAAGACCACAGGUUCCAUGGAACCAGGGGUAAAAGGCGGCCUUCGGGCUGUCGCCGAAAGAUGAGUCCGCGUCCCAUCAGGUAGUUGGUGAGGUAACGGCUCACCAAGCCGAAGACGGGUAGCCGACCUUAGCGGGUGAUCGGCCACACGGGGACUGAGACACGGCCCCGACUCCUACGGGAGGCAGCAGUGGGGAAUCUUGGGCAAUGGGCGCAAGCCUGACCCAGCAAUACCGCGUGAGGG
rnacentral:rRNA from 1 species